ensembl:lncRNA
AUACGAAAAUGAGCUCUCCAUCCCUCCGGCAUCCUUUAGGCUCUCAUUCUUGAAUGGGAAAUAAAUUGCCCUUCACCGUAAAUGCGGCAACGCUCAUCGGCUUCGUGUAUUUCACGAGCGCAACGCCUUGGUUUCACCUGUGAUGUCUAAAGGCGAAUUUUGCAUUUAAUUCCCAGAGCAGAGCCGGGGCCGUGGAUCGGUCGGAACCCGCGAGGUUCCUCGUCCCGUCCAUGUGACACAGAGGUGUCGCGGCAUCAGCAGCGCAACCAAAACCGCGCUGCGAGAAACUGCUCGCGUUCCUUCUGCACUUGGGGCAGAGCGGUGUCACACAGAAAACACUAAGACCAAACCGACCCGCAACCGCAUAAAUCCCUUUAAUUUAGUGGGUCCUCCACAGCUCCGGCAUCUCACGGAAAAAACAACGUUUGGGGGCUGAGGAGGUGUGGGAGGUUAAAAGCUCUCUCUUAAAACGACCAGGAGACAGCAGACAUGGAUUUGAUUUAAUUUUUUUCUUUUUCUUUUUUUUUUUUUUUUCUUUCCAAGGUCCCUUGUCCCUUUUGUGUUCCCUUUCCUCCCUUGUUUCCUUCCUUUCUCCGGGAGGGGCGGCGAGGCUGGAGCGGUGCUGAGCCCACCGGCGGCUUCUCUGGAACCGCACAAAUGGACCCUCGCGGGGCGGCGGAGCGGGGAGCGAGAGGGAGCCUCCUGCUCCAUCUCCAACUACUGCCAUUGGUGACAGCAGAAGGUCUGUGGGGACAGCAGGAGGCCAAGGGGACAGCAAGAGGCCUUUGGGGACAGCAGGAAGCUCUGCAUGAGAUGGUGACCAAAGCUCCCGCAGCCGUCCCUGUGGCAAGAACACCCACAGCAGCAGGUAAUGUGCCCCUCCCACAGCAACUGACAGCCAGGAGCAAGAAAUGUUCGGGCAGCUUACAUCAUCGUUUGCCUGUAUCAUUAUCAAGGAGGAACUGAAAGCUGUUUUAUGAGGAGCAGACAGACAAGACUAGCUUGAGCUUGAGACAUAAAGAACUCAAACCACUAAGAUACCUGAAGGCAUCCCAAUUAAGCGAUAUUACCAUCCUGAUCAAGAUGCAGUCAUUGUUAGUAAGCAUCCCUGAUUUCUAAGUGAGAUAUGCCAAUGAAACAGAUUUCCUGAUUAGGUGCACUUAAAUUAAGUGGAGAGAACUGCAUGGAGGAAAUUUGGAAGGGCUCUUGUAUGGGCCAGCUUCACCUGGGCACUGUGUCACCUCCACUGAUACAGAGCUUGGACCGCUAACCUCAAACCCACAGUGCUGCCCAUACCUGGGGCUGCGUGACCAUCCCACCUCCACCCUCUGCCUGUGCUCCCAGCACAGGGAGCAGUGCUGCUAGGCAUGCCCACAGCCACCUGCAUCAGAGCACCUUGGCACCUGUGCUCUGCCAAAAUCCCACUGGGUGCUGAGGAGGAGGCAGAGUGGUAUCUGAGAGCCUGCAGGGGCUGAUCCGAUAGAUAAUGGCUUGGGCUUUGGGAUGAAUCUGAAAGGAAGGUCCUCAUCAGCUCUGCACUGGGUAUUUCUGUGUUUUAGAGGUCAGACCUGCAUAGUUUUCAGAUGGAAUGACUCCGGGUGACGUGCUCUGGCAGUAGGACUGAAGGGCAGGUUGGGGAGGAAGAAGACACAGACAGCAAGUCUUGCAGACACUUAAAGCCCUGAGCUGCACCUGCCAUGUGAGCUGGGUGAAGAAAGAAGGGCCCUACGCUUAAGUCCAAUGCUGCUGCCCUUCUUAACAUCCACUGUGGGCUCCUCCCAAACUGCUCUUCUGGUAGGAGAGCCCUGAAAGGAGCCUGCAGCGAAUGGGCCCCUGGGGAGAGGUUUGUGUCUCCUCAUGCAGCUCUUUUGCUCCAGAGCCCUGCCUUGUCUCACAUCCCCACGCUGAAUAAGGCAAGGAAUGUGAGCCCUCCACCACACCUCUAGCUUUCAACAUUUGCUGAGCCUGUUCGUCUAUUAUUUUUUUUUUCCCCUGUGACUUUUGAGAUUGUAAUCUUGGCAAGGUAGGGACUGCCUCCUCUUCUGUGUUUCUAUACCAUCUAGCUCCUGGUUGUGUCCAGGAUCUUGUGCUGAUGUGCUAACAAUGAAUAAGCACAAUUUUUUGGGGGGUACUCUCCAUGGAUCCCUCUGAAAUGGAUUGAGCUGGAAAUUCCUCUGGAAGAGAAGGGCUUACGGUAACCACUUGAUUAAAACGAUUGCUCUCUGCAGGGAUGAACACAGGUGUUGCCUUCAGUGAUGUUUGUCACAGAUUUGCAUACAAUGAAUAGCACACCAUGUCCCUCUUUCUUCUAAGUUUAGGGGAUGGCAGCAGCCGUCUAAACCUCUUUGAAGAAAAAGAUGACACGGAGUUUUCUUGCUGACCUGCAGCUAAGGUGUACUCUUGAGGUGUGCCUGCUUUUCAAUUUGCCUACCUAUAUAAAUUCCAAACGUGGCAGCUUCAUGCAGUUAUUUCAUUUCAGAGGUUCCCUCCAAGCGUCUCAUCCUGACCUCGUAUGGCUGCGUGGCACACAGUAAAUCAGUACAGAAAUCCAUCUCUGAAUCUCUUCUUUUUCACUUUUCUUUUCAAAUUCUGCUUUUCCUUUCAAACGAGGCCAGCUCCUCAAGCCAUUAGGCUGAAUUGCAUCAGCUGUGGCUCUGGCUUGGGGAAAUUAAAGGUGAACACCUGUGCCAGCUCAGCAUCACCACAGUGCAUGAGCACGUAGAAGAAGUUAAGUCACUGGAGAGUGAACAAGGCUGGAGCCUUAGUGGUGCUGGUGGAUCAGGUGCACGCUAUGUACCAGGUAGUGUCCUUGGGAGAGUUGCUUCUUUGGACAGCCUCAGUGGUGAGAUUGGUUUCUUAUUCUGUUCAGUUUGAAGACUGGGCGUUAUGAAGUGUGGCAUUUGGUGGCACGGUUGUUGGGUUUGGGGGAUUAUUUUUCAGACCUAAGUAUAUGCAUCCUCAAAAUAAUGUUAUCUCUUCCAGUAUGAUUCCCACUAAAGUGAAUGGAAAUGUCCCUAUUAAGUUUAAAAUACAAUUUCCUCCACCUCCUCCUUCUUAAAAGACUUAAUCAAGCAUGUUUAGCGGAAACUUACAAGAGCUGUCUAAUGACUGACUUGCUUUGCCCAGGGAAAAAUGUAACCAUAAACUGAAACAUGAUGCUGAAAACCAAGUUUAGUAGAAAGUGUUUAGUCUAGUGCUAGAUGAAUGAUGGAAGCGUGUAUUUGUGAAUAAUUUAUUUGACAAUUGGUGUGUGUGGGGGGGAAAUGACCAAGUUCUCUUCUCGUUUGUCUUUGCCUACAAAACUGGCUGAACAAUGCAGAAACAAAUUGCUAAUACUUAUUCAGAAGCAGAGAGGUUAGCUUUUGUCAAAGGCCUUUUUAGCAGAGACUUGGACUAGCCCCAGAUCAGCUUAAUUUUCUCAUGUUCUUUGCAUAGUAAACAAAGGAAGUUGUUCUAUUAGUUACUAAAUCCAGUGUGAAUAUGCAUCUUGCCAGCAAUGUUCACGUUCUAUUGCAAAUCUCACACCGUGAGGACUGCAGAUACUGGAGUAUAGUCUUCCUGGCCAUGGCCAAUGUACCAAGACUUGAGUGAGCUCAGUGAGCUACGUUUUGUGGGAUGUGCCCACCUGCAGUCCCUCCUUGGAGAAGUUCCUUGCAGUGCUGUGGAUGGCACGAUGCAUGAGGCUGAAUGCACCACUUAAGAAGGUGUGUUCUGCGAUCAGGAAGGCUGCCAUCUCCAUAUAUGAUGAUGCAAACAGUUGCUGAUUGCCAGACAGAAGCUGCUCAUUAAUUAUUUUUCCUCUUGGUGAGAGAGGAAAUGCAGCCAGAUGGCGGAGCCUCUAAAGAGCUGGCUUUAUUAGUUUGACCUGACAGCAGUGCAGAGGUGUUUUGCUUGGGGACAGAAUCUACAUUUUGCCUUGCAAUUUAGUGAGCUUGUCUGCAUCACCUCCUACACUUCCUCCUACCUUUCCCUUCCCCUGCGACACACCCAAGCUUCUCUCUCAGUAGUCCUUUAUCCUGUGCCACCUUUGCACCUUUUGCCAUACCACCAAAUGAGCUUUAAAAUUCUAGAAUAAAUAUGUUUUUAGUGUUUUUUUUUUUUAAUGU